rnacentral:rRNA from 1 species
UACAGAGGGUGCUAGCGUUAAUCGGAUUUACUGGGCGUAAAGCGUGUGUAGGCGGUUUGUUAAGUCGGGUGUGAAAUCCCUGGGCUCAACCUGGGAAUUGCAUUCGAUACUGGCAAGCUAGAGUACGGUAGAGGGCGGCGGAAUUCCUGGUGUAGCGGUGAAAUGCGCAGAUAUCAGGAGGAACACCGGUGGCGAAGGCGGGUCUCUGGGCCGAUACUGACGCUGAGGAGCGAAAGCGUGGGGAGCGAACAGG